rnacentral:rRNA from 1 species
UGCCAGCAGCCGCGGUAAUACGGAGGGGGCAAGCGUUGUUCGGAAUUAUUGGGCGUAAAGGGCGCGUAGGCGGCCAACUAAGUCAGGCGUGAAAUCCCGCGGCUCAACCGCGGAACUGCGCUUGAAACUAUUUGGCUUGAGUCCCGGAGAGGGUAGUGGAAUUCCUAGUGUAGCGGUGAAAUGCGUAGAUAUUAGGAGGAACACCAGUGGCGAAGGCGACUACCUGGACGGGUACUGACGCUGAGGCGCGAAAGUGUGGGUAGCAAACAGGAUUAGAUA